rnacentral:snoRNA from 1 species
ACCCUUCCGAUCCCUUACCCAUCAGAUCUAAACAUCGGUCUGAGUGGUGCUAACAGGAGGAAAACCAUGUUUAAACUGACUUAAGUUAUUUUGUGACAUGCAAGCUCAUUUCAAACAACA